GGAACCAUGCGAGAAGCGGUCGCCUAACCCCGUCAGGUCCGGAAGGAAGCAGCGGCAAGCGGAUUGCUUUUGCGCCGUGGGGGUAAA
rnacentral:SRP_RNA from 1 species